GCAACCCUAACCCUCAUUUUAUCUCCCUCACAGCCGCACCCCCUUUUCUUUUCUCUCUCUCUUCUCUUAUCCUUCUCUUCCUCCCUAAACUUCCACCACGACUGCCGCCGCUGGAGCAGUCCACCGAACAGUCGGCGGCCCUUCUCACCUCUCUCAUGUCAUUGCCUCACCACCACCGGCGAAAACAACAACAGUCCAACCAAGCUCCAAGCGCUGACCAGUCCCCGUUCAGCCACUGUCCCCGCAUCGUCUAGUCCAACGAACCGGACAGCUGCCGGUUUUAGAUUGAACGAAAUGGUGAAAGUACCAAAGGAUUGCGGUGGAGUACAGUGAAGUUAACGGCAUCACCGUUAAUUCAGCUGAAAUACUGGAAGCUGCAUGUCAAUUACUGGAUCUUAGCAUUCUGAUCACAUACGGUGCUUUUGAGUAUAUUUUGAUGGUACUGUAUGUCUGCGACAUUGACUGGAACUUGAAUCAAAUGAAUUAUGCCUCUAUGAUUAUUCUUGCUCUACUAUUUAUGAUGAAACUUGAUUAUAGCUGGAUAUAUCAACGAAAUAUUGAUAAUAGAAUGGGUGAGGCUGAGAAUGAAGAUGUGGAUGAUGAAUUGUAGUUGUUAGUCUUUUGUAUGUUUUAUAGUCUUUUGUGGUUGGUUGAUUGUAUAUUAAAUGAUUGGUGAGCUGUAUUAUAAAUAAUUUGAUUUGAAUUUUAAUGUUUGUAAA